rnacentral:misc_RNA from 1 species
UUCAUUCACAACUUUUCUGCCCCUUGUUCAGCACGGACUACAGAGCAUUGGCGUCAAUAUGGUCUAAAAACCCUAUAAAAGAAGAGAAGAGAACAUACUACACUGAAGGAAUAUUAAGAGGGUAUAAGAAUAUCAGGAAGACUUCCUUAAAAUGCCUUCUCCGUCUGCUGUGAUGUUGCCGGAGGAAAACAAGAGAAGUCUAACGGAGCUUUCGGAAAAGGAUAAUGAUGCUUUUUUAACUUCCUGGGAAAUGGCUCUGGAGCAUCUGAGAACAUACAAGGAACAAGAGGAAAUUCUACCAUAUUACAGCGUGCAGCAUCAGAAGGACACAUUGGAACUGAAGUCAGCGAGGAUAGCAAAGUUGCUUGAGCAUUUGCAUGAAACAAAUUCGGACCAAGAUCUAGCAAAACUCCUGACUUCAUCUGGCCUACGAAAAGAAAUAGUGAAUAUUAUUACAUCCCAGUCGGAACACAAGGAGUCUCUAUCAUAGUUAACACCAUUACAAACCAUACGAAUGCGAUGAUGGAGCCUUGACUUUGGAUUAAGAAGUUAUUUAUUAACCAUGAUAACAUCUACACUUCAGUUAAAUUUUUGGUGGCUGGGAGUAGCUCCGAGGGAGAGGCUGGGAGAACUUUUGUACAGAAUUUCCUUCAUUGUCCUAUUUGCCUGUUGGAUCCUGACACCUUGCUGCUGUCACCUGACCCAAAUUCCGGGUAUUAGGCUUACUUGAGUG